ensembl:lncRNA
GGGAAAGUUGACUUUGAAUUAAUGGACUGUAAUCAAGAAGAGGAAGAACUUUUAAUUGUGUGUGUUACUCUCGUACCGUUUGCGCCGAGGACUUUUAUUUACUUUACAGGAAAAAAAACGUGGAAUUUUUGCACGUGCUUUAGUGACUGUCGCACACGUUUCAUCUACUUUCACUUUUUUUUUUUUUUUUUUUUUCAAACGUCUUUCGAUAUACAUUUUUUAAAUGGUUCGUACGAUCAAGUCCGGUUGCGGAGACUCACGUGUCACGUUAUCACAUCGUACUCACGUAAUUACACGUCAAACGCGUGCGACUCUUCUGUAACGGCUCUAGAAAUGAAAAGAAUGGUUUUUCACUGAGGUCUUGUAUACAGAGGACAUUUUGCAGGCGCAGGAAGCUACUGGAAAUUCAGACACUGACAACAAUGCGAAAAACGAUAAAAUAUGGAUCACUUCCGGUACGGAUGUAAAGUCCGAGCGAUGGAAGUCCAUUUCACGAAGGUACGACAGAGAGCGAAAUAGAUCCAAGACUUGAACCUGAGCUUGGCUUGGUCUUGACGACUGACCGAUUUCAGAUGAUAAAAGAAGAAGACGAAAAGAACAGAAGAUGUUGAAAUUAGCAAAUCUAAGCAAAGCAAAUCAAAUUUUUGUCUCUUUCUCCCUUUUUCCCGCAGUGGUCCUCGGUAACCUAAUCAGGACUGGCUUUAUCUGGUAAUCCACAUUUAAACUUUAACCUGUAGGGGGCUCUUUGUGUCGGUUAAUGUAAGCAUAAAAGAGGAGGCCAGUCUGAAUGACUAAUCAGAUUAAUCAUAUUUCGCAAGACUAAAGAGCUUCUCUAAAAGGGAGCAGAAUUAGGCCUACUUCGAUCUCUGAGGGCGAUUGGGGGAGAAAAGAGAACAAGAAGAAAAGGAAAAAAAACUCGGGCGAAACAAUUGGAACG